GCCUGGGCAGCUCAGUCGGUUGAGCAUCUAACUUUGGCUCAGAUCAUGAUCUCACAGCUAGUGGGUUCAAGCCCCGCUCUGGGCU
rnacentral:tRNA from 1 species